UCUGAAGCGGCGUUAAACAUCAAACAACUUAUCAAUCAAUCAAUAUUAUUUAUCUUAGGCAUAUGCAUGGUGACAAGUAAAGAGUUUUGCAGCAAGGAUACGGACUGUAAUAUAACUAAAUGUACAGCUAACAUCACUGUACAAUGUUUGUAUGGGAGCUGUAGUUGUGUUGAAAACACUUCCAAUGGUAAGAUGAAUUGAUAAAACAAAUCACAUGUGCUUGUCAACUUGUUUGCCAUUACCCUCGUUUAUGUUUGGUUAAUUAUUUUUCUGUCACUUUUAUACGACCAUUUGACUAUAAUAAUUUUUUAAGUUUUUGUGUGUAAAUAGAGGUUCUUGGCGGUUAACGAUAUUACUGAGGAUAAAAUGCAUAUAACGCUAACCUAUGUACAUACGGCGAUGAUAAAUAUACCUGACAGUGUGUAAUGUCUCAAUUCUUCUUCGUUUUCCUGAUAUUUUUCCAGUUUCAUUCCCUUUAUAUGUGUUAUUCCAAUAAUACCGGAUAAAUUUAAUGCAAUUUCUUAUGCUCCUAAUAUUUUGAUGGUUAUUACUUGAAAAAAAACAGAAUAUAAUCCAUAUCUAUAUAAAGACAUUUUAACACGGGUUAGGGUUAGAACAACUGUUUGCCUUUGAAAAUAUUUAGAAGUUAACCAAAAAGGAGACUACAUUUUAUCAAUCAUGUCAUUUACCCUUCCGGAGCACCUGAGAUCACCCCUAGUUUUUUGGGGUUCGUGUUGUUUAUUCUUUAGUUUUCUAUGUUGUGUCGUGUGUGCUGUUGUUUGUUUGUCUUUUUCAUUUUUAGCCAUUACGUUGUCAGUUUGUUUUAGAUUUAUGAGUUUGACUGUCCCUUUGGUAUCUUUCGUCCCUCUUUUAGAUAACAUAAACAUCUUUCAUGAAGCAAAAAGGGUAUUCAGUCGAUAUACAGAGUUGCUAUGUAUGCAAUUCAAAUUAAAAUAAUCAUUUUGAGGUUGAACUAAAUUGUAUUAGAACAUUGGAAAUUAGUAGCUCCAAAAAUACCUAGCAAAAAGAAAUAUGGAACAAUGAAAAAAGUCAACGUCAUCAACCGUUUUCUAUUAAAAUGCUUGUAAAACGGUAAACUUUAUAUUCGUUUCCAACAUCAAGUUGUCUAUAUAAUUAUAUCAGCCAAAUACAAAUGCCCAAUUACACAUGUGGAGCAGGAUCUGCUUACCCUUCCGGAGCACCCGAAAUCACCCCUAGUUUUUGGUGGGGUUCGUGUUGUUUAUUCUUUAGUUUUCUAUGUUGUGUCGUGUGUGCUGUUAUUUGUAUGUCUUUUUCAUUUUAGCCAUGUCGUUGUCAGUUUGUUUUAGAUUUAUGAGUUUGACUGUCCCUUUGGUAUCUUUCGUCCCUCUUUUACAGUAAGAUUUUUUUUAUUGUGACCUGAUUUAUCAUACGAAAGCUGAAUGACUUAACCGGCACCUUUAUGCUGAGAUGCAAACGAUAUGUGGUCACUGCAAUGCCAGUCUUGUGAUAAAACCACCAAUGAAAUGUCUGCUUUAUAUUCAGACCGGAUAUUGUUUAUUACUGGUAUCAUCUGAUCUCCUUUUUGUCCCUCUUUUACAGGUUAAAGCUGUAUAAUGUGAAAUCCCAAAAUAAGUCAGACUUCGUGCAGAGUUAACCUUUACUUAUAUGUUUGCGUUACUCACUAUGUGGCUCAACGUAUAGACAAGAGUUCAAAGUCGGUAAAUUUAAGGAAUAAAUAGUGGUAAUCGAACAUUUGUUGAUUCAAUAAUUUCAAAAUGGUUUUCCCUCCUUAGUUACGCCUGGUCAACUGUGGAUUUGACGGCAACUUUUAGCCAAUGAAAAAAAUUGUUACAUACAGAUUGCAUUGGUAAAUUUACUGUUGGACGAAUGUUCUGAUGAUGUAAGAUGGAAGACGGCUAAAAAAUGUUGCAUGUGAGUUACGACAAAGCAAUACCGAAUCGGUCAACGACUUUGAGAUGUUGACCAUAAAACUGACGUAGUGUCAAUUUCAAAAUACCGUAACUCUGAUAGAGAAGUUUUUGUGUCAAUGUACAUGCUUCAUGAAGUUUGUAUCGUAUUGUAUAAACCAUGUAACUAUAUGAACAAGUCAUACGAGUGGCCAGAUGGUAUGUUACUACUAAGAUAAACAUUUUUCAUGCAUUAUUUAUUGUUAUAUGUUGAUUCAAACAUAUUGAAUAAAUUAUAACUUCCGAUAUAUAUAUAAUUUCAGUAUGUACCGGACUUUUUGAUUGUGUUUCAAACAUUUGUACCAAUGGUGGAAUAGGAACGUGUGUUCAAUCAAAGUGCAUUUGUGUACAUAACCAAGGUAGAGACUAUAAUCAUAGCCAGGAAUUCAAUGUAAAUAGCUAGAAAUUGAAAAUUGUUGUAUAAUUUCUGAUAAUGAUUCAUGUAACAUAUGCAAAAUUCAUCAUUAUUAUAGUUGCAUCAGUCUGAUCAAGUUGACGAUGCAUACCAACAUAAAAUUGCUAUGCCUCAAAAAACAACUUCUGAGCGGCCAUAAUGUUUUCUUUAAAAAGGAAAAAAAAAUGUUUCUAAACAUUGCUUCAUUAAAUUUUCGAAAAAUGAAAUAAAAGGUUAACUUAUUAUUGCCUCAAUCUUUAAUUAAACAAAAUUGUACAAUUGUAGCAUGUAGCAGUGUCAAUGAAUGCUCAACCUUAGACUGUAACACUGGGAGUGUUAAGAACUGUAUCAACUCACAGUGCCUGUGUGUAAUACAGUGACCGGAAUAUCAGAUGUUGCCAGACAACAAAUAAUAGCUGACACCCAUGUCAUUUGAACUCUAGUGGAUAGUUGUCUCAUUAGCAAACAUACCACAUCUUCUUAUCUUAUAAUCAAAAAUAAUAAAUAAAAGAUG
rnacentral:lncRNA from 1 species